rnacentral:lncRNA from 1 species
UGAUAGUCCAUUUCAUGUAAUAUCAUACUUUGUUUAUCCAUUCAUCCGUUGAUGAAUAUUUGGGUUGUUUCCAUCUUUCAGUAAUUGUGAUGAAUGCUGAUAUGAGUUAUGGUGUACAAAUAUCUGUUAAAAUCUCUGCUUUCAAUUCUUUAUGGUAUAUGCUCAGAAGUAUAAUUACUAUAUAAAAUACAGUAGUUUUAUGUUUAAUUUUUUAAAGAAACAGUUAUUUUGUUUUCCAGAGUGGUUGCACCAUUUUAUAUUUCAGCCAGCAAUGUGCAAGGGUUCCAAUUUCUUCACAUCCCUCCCAACACUAGUUAUUUAUUUAUUUUUGUAAUAGCCAUCUACAUAAAAUAUAGUGAGUAUAAAAUGGUAGAUACUUCAUGGUGGUUUUAAUUUGCAUUUCCCUAAUGAUCAAUGAUGCUGAACAUCUCAUGUGCUUACUAGUCAUCUUUACAUUUUCUUUGUUUAAUGUCUAUCCAAAAUCUUUGCCCAUUUUUUGAAUUGGGUUGCUCUGAACUGGUUUUGUCUUCAAAACCAUUUAGGUCUCAAAAGUAACCUAAUCCUUGCUAAAUUUGCAAAAAUAAGUAUAUUUCUUAUAAAUACAUAUACUAAAGGAAAACAAUAUAAGUUAAUAAAUCAGAAGCAACCAACAAACUUAUAUAAUUAGGGAGUUUCCCAUUUGAAAGACAAAAUAAAGCAGCCAUACAGCUGUAACCAAUCAAAGAUUUUAUUAGCCUUCCUUUUAUAUUUGUAAACACCGCCUCCUCUCAUUCCUCCAUGGACCUCCUGAUCUCCUUCUGAUUUGGAGCUGCUGAAUUCACUAAUCACUUUUCAAAAAUGUUUUGUGCUUCAGUUUACUUUCUGUCAAUGAUAACCAAGGGUGGCAAGGAAGGGAGAUGGGGAGUUAUUUUCAAUGGUUACGGAGUUUCAGUUUGGAAAGAUGAAAAAGUUCUAAAGGUGGCUGAUGAUAAUGAUCGCACCACAGUACAAAUGUACUUAAUGCCACUGAACUACACACUUUAAAAUGUCAAA